GACGAACGCUGGCGGCGUGCUUAACACAUGCAAGUCUAAGGAGAAAGUUCCUUCGGGAGCGAGUAAACUGGCGAACGGGUGAGUAACGCGUAGGUAACCUACCCUUAAGAUCGGGAUAACCCACCGAAAGGUGAGAUAAUACCGAAUAAUAUCUUUCCUCAUAAGGGGUAAAGAUCAAAGGUGGCUUCGGCUAUCACUUAUGGAUGGGCCUGCGUCUGAUUAGCUAGUUGGUAAGGUAACGGCCUACCAAGGCAAUGAUCAGUAGCUGGUCUGAGAGGGCGAUCAGCCACAUUGGGACUGAGAUACGGCCCAGACUCCUACGGGAGGCAGCAGUGGGGAAUUUUGCGCAAUGAGCGAAAGCUUGACGCAGCAACGCCGCGUGAUCGAAGAAGCUCUGCGGAGUGUAAAGAUCUGUCAUAGGGGAAGAUAAGUCCCGUUAUUAACACCAUCGGGAUGUGACGGUACCCUAUAAGAAAGCCCCGGCUAACUUCGUGCCAGCAGCCGCGGUAAUACGAGGGGGGCAAGCGUUGUCCGGAUUUAUUGGGCGUAAAGAGUUCGUAGGCUGGUUGGUCAGUCGAAAUUGAAAUCCCACGGCUUAACCGUGGAUCCGAUUUUGAUACUGCCAAUCUUGAGUGAGGUAGAGGUAAGCGGAAUUCCUGGUGUAGCGGUGAAAUGCGUAGAUAUCAGGAGGAACACCAAAGGCGAAGGCAGCUUACUGGACCUAUACUGACGCUGAGGAACGAAAGCG
rnacentral:rRNA from 1 species